AUUGAACGCUGGCGGCAGGCCUAACACAUGCAAGUCGAGCGGAUGAAAGGAGCUUGCUCCUGGAUUCAGCGGCGGACGGGUGAGUAAUGCCUAGGAAUCUGCCUGGUAGUGGGGGAUAACGUUCGGAAACGAACGCUAAUACCGCAUACGUCCUACGGGAGAAAGCAGGGGACCUUCGGGCCUUGCGCUAUCAGAUGAGCCUAGGUCGGAUUAGCUUGUUGGUGGGGUAAUGGCUCACCAAGGCGACGAUCCGUAACUGGUCUGAGAGGAUGAUCACUCAAACUGGAACUGAGACACGGUCCAGACUCCUACGGGAGGCAGCAGUGGGGAAUAUUGGACAAGGGGCGAAAGCCUGAUCCAGCCAUGCCGCGUGUGUGAAGAAGGUCUUCGGAUUGUAAAGCACUUUAAGUUGGGAGGAAGGGUUGUAGAUUAAUACUCUGCAAUUUUGACGUUACCGACAGAAUAAGCACCGGCUAACUCUGUGCCAGCCGCCGCAGUAAGAC
rnacentral:rRNA from 1 species